rnacentral:rRNA from 1 species
GUGGGGAGGGCCGGAUUAGAUACCCUGGUAGUCCACGCCGUAAACGAUGUCAACUAGCCGUUGGGAGCCUUGAGCUCUUAGUGGCGCAGCUAACGCAUUAAGUUGACCGCCUGGGGAGUACGGCCGCAAGGUUAAAACUCAAAUGAAUUGACGGGGGCCCGCACAAGCGGUGGAGCAUGUGGUUUAAUUCRAAGCAACGCRAARAACCUUACCAGGCCUUGACAUCCAAUGAAUCUGCUAGAGAUAGCGGAGUGCCUUCGGGAACAUUGARACAGGUGCUGCAUGGSUGUCGUCAGCUCGWGUCGUGAGAUGUUGGGUUAAGUCCCGUAACAAGCGCUACCCUUGUCCUUAGKUACC